GAAUGUUCUCCUACAUAGCCACAGUACAAAUGUCUCACUCUGAAAAUGAAGCCAGGCACAGCGGCUCAUGCCUGUACACCCAGCAUUUUGGGAGGCCCAGGAGGUUGAGGCUGCACUCCAGCCUGGCCGACAGAGACAAUGUCUUGGGGGUAGGGGGUGAAGAACACUUCUUUCCCCAGUUGUCAAACUAAUAAUGUCCU
rnacentral:lncRNA from 10 species